UGCUCCUCAAGAGCAUCAAUUAUUGAUAUUACGAAGCGUUCAGACAGGCUGUGGUGACACGAGGAGCAUCAGAGGAUGUGAAACACAUGCUGGCACUUUGAGAGCUUUGGCAUGGGUACAGCAAUAUACGAGUGUGUGUGUUUGUGUGUAUGUGUGUGUGAAAGAGAGAGAGAGAGAGAGACAGGGGGGAAAGAAAGAGUCUGAAUGCAAUAUCAGAGUGGCACAGACCUGGACAAGAGCCCAGACUGACAGCGGCUGCUGUAGAAAUGUGGGAGAGAGAGACAGACAGACCAAAGAAGGCCUCAGCUCAACAUCAAAGCAUAUGCUCGAUGAGGCCCCCGGUUCCACAGAUCCAGGAUGUCAGCCAGGAGAGUGGCCCCCUGAUGCUGAACAACCACUGAUGCUGCCAUUGACAGACCAUCUGAAUAGGAGGUAUUUCUAUAGCUACACAUCACAAGCGAUGAUCCCCCUGUCGGAAAGGAAAGUUUUAGAAGAGAUCUCAACAAUCAAAAAUGCUGAUACUGAAAAUAAACAUAACUGAAGAUAGAUAGAUAGAUAGAUAGAUAGAUAGAUAGAUGUUCCUCUCUGUCAUCUUUUUUGUGCACUUAUUUCCAUUUACCUAUAUUCAGCUAAGAAGAAGAAAUAUUCAGAGGAGGAAGAGAUUUAUUAAUCUUACCGGCUCAGUAUGAGAUGGCUUGUGUAGUCAUAUCCCAUUUGGUGUGUUUGAUGUUGUAUUGGCUAUCUGUAAUAUUUCAUAACUUUGGUUAAUGAGGUGAAACUGUUGGGCCCACAUUCAAUUUAAUGUUUUUUUUUUUUUUUUUUUUACAGGCAACUUUGAUCUAGUCCAUGAAAUUAGAACAUUAACAUGAUUUUGCCUUUCAGGAUUUAAAUGAAAUAUGGAACUCUCUAGAGGGUGAAAUUCAAUAAUAUUACAUUUAUUAUCACAAAUGAUGAAGUGUAUGUUUUCUAAAUGUAUUUUAUAACUUCAUAGUGUUUUUUUCUUACAUAACUUGUUUGCAUGUUCAGUGCAGUCUGUACUUGCUGGAACUUAUUUGUUGUAUUUCUUUGGUUAUAGUCACUGAAAUAUAGAUUUAUGACAUACUGUACAACAUUUUUUAUAAAUGAGGCAUGAUUGCAUAAAACUAAUAAAAUCUAAUUAAAAUCUAAUAUGCCUGAUAUUUUCAUCCUUCAUUUGCCUCAUAUUAUAGUGCAAAUAGCACCACAUGAAGAUUAGCUUGCUAAUUGUAAUAACUGUGCAGCUUUGUACCUUGAAAUUGACUCGAGGUUCAGAGGGAGGACGUGAAUAGCUCGGACCCCUCUGCUC